UACGGGAGGCAGCAGUGGGGAAUAUUGCACAAUGGGCGCAAGCCUGAUGCAGCCAUGCCGCGUGUAUGAAGAAGGCCUUCGGGUUGUAAAGUACUUUCAGCGGGGAGGAAGGCGAUGCGGUUAAUAACCGCGUCGAUUGACGUUACCCGCAGAAGAAGCACCGGCUAACUCCGUGCCAGCAGCCGCGGUAAUACGGAGGGUGCAAGCGUUAAUCGGAAUUACUGGGCGUAAAGCGCACGCAGGCGGUCUGUUAAGUCAGAUGUGAAAUCCCCGGGCUUAACCUGGGAACUGCAUUUGAACUGGCAGGCUUGAGUCUUGUAGAGGGGGUAGAAUUCCAGGUGUAGCGGUGAAAUGCGUAGAGAUCUGGAGGAAUACCGGUGGCGAAGGCGGCCCCUGGGACAAGACUGACGCUCAGGGUGCGAAAGCGUGGGGAGCAAACGAGGAUUAGGAUACC
rnacentral:rRNA from 1 species